CUCUUUUUGAGUUUAAUUUAAAGUUGGGCCUGCCCACUGAAAUUUGAAGGGCCGCAGUAUUUUGACUGUGCAAAGGUAGCAUAAUCAUUAGUUUUUUAAUUGAAAGCUUGUAUGAAUGGUUUGAUGAGAAAAUUUCUGUCUCAAUUUUAAUAUUUAGAAUUUUAUUUUUAAGUUAAAAAGCUUAAAUUUUUUUUAAAGACGAGAAGACCCUAUAGAGUUUAACUUAAAUUAAUGUUUUAAAUUUUAGAAUUUACAAUUUAAAAUUUUACUUAAGUUUUGUUGGGGUGACAGAAAAAUUAAAUUAACUUUUUUUUUAUUUUUACAUUAAUAUAUGAAUUUUUGAUCCAUUAUUAUGAUUAUAAGAUUAAAUUACCUUAGGGAUAACAGCGUAAUCUUUUUUGAAAGUUCUUAUUGAAAAAAGGGGUUGCGACCUCGAUGUUGGAUUAAAAUUAAUUUUUGGUGUAGAAGCUAAAAAAUUAGGUCUGUUCGACCUUUAAAAUUUUACAUGAUCUGAGUUUAAACCGGUGUGAGCCAGGUUGGUUUCUAUCUUAAAUAUAAAUAAAUAUCUUAGUACGAAAGGAUCAGGUAUUAAAUUUAAAAUUAAAAUUUUGAAUGAAAAUUUUAUUUUGGCAGAAUAGUGCAAAGGAUUUAGAAUCUUUUUAUGUAAGAAUUUACAAAUAAAAAUUGAUUUAAUUUUGGUUAUAAUUAAUUUUUUUAUUUUAUUUUUAGGAGUAUUAGUAGGAGUAGCAUUUUUAACUUUAUUAGAGCGAAAGUUAUU
rnacentral:rRNA from 1 species